AGUCGAGCGGUAAGGCCUUUCGGGGUACACGAGCGGCGAACGGGUGAGUAACACGUGGGUGAUCUGCCCUGCACUUCGGGAUAAGCCUGGGAAACUGGGUCUAAUACCGGAUAUGACCUCCUAUCGCAUGGUGGGUGGUGGAAAGAUUUAUCGGUGCAGGAUGGGCCCGCGGCCUAUCAGCUUGUUGGUGGGGUAAUGGCCUACCAAGGCGACGACGGGUAGCCGACCUGAGAGGGUGACCGGCCACACUGGGACUGAGACACGGCCCAGACUCCUACGGGAGGCAGCAGUGGGGAAUAUUGCACAAUGGGCGAAAGCCUGAUGCAGCGACGCCGCGUGAGGGAUGACGGCCUUCGGGUUGUAAACCUCUUUCAGCAGGGACGAAGCGCAAGUGACGGUACCUGCAGAAGAAGCACCGGCUAACUACGUGCCAGCAGCCGCGGUAAUACGUAGGGUGCAAGCGUUGUCCGGAAUUACUGGGCGUAAAGAGUUCGUAGGCGGUUUGUCGCGUCGUUUGUGAAAACCAGCAGCUCAACUGCUGGCUUGCAGGCGAUACGGGCAGACUUGAGUACUGCAGGGGAGACUGGAAUUCCUGGUGUAGCGGUGAAAUGCGCAGAUAUCAGGAGGAACACCGGUGGCGAAGGCGGGUCUCUGGGCAGUAACUGACGCUGAGGAACGAAAGCGUGGGUAGCGAACAGGAUUAGAUACCCU
rnacentral:rRNA from 1 species